GACGAACGCUGGCGGCGUGCCUAACACAUGCAAGUCGAACGGAAGUAAGUGCUUCGGUAUUUACUUUAGUGGCGAACGGGUGAGUAACGCGUGAGGAACCUGCCUUUCAGCGGGGGAUAACUAUUGGAAACGAUAGCUAAUACCGCAUAAUAGUGUUUAACACAUGUUAGAGACUUGAAAGAUGCAAUUGCAUCACCAGUAGAUGGACCUGCGUUGUAUUAGCUAGUUGGUGGGGUAACGGCCUACCAAGGCGACGAUACAUAGCCGACCUGAGAGGGCGGACGGCCACACUGGGACUGAGACACGGCCCGG
rnacentral:rRNA from 1 species